UGUGUGCUUGGGCAUUCUCUCGAAACAAGUGCAGCGAAAAACGCAGAGCUGCGUCUCCGCUACACUUGUUUGCAGAGAAUGCCCAACUGGAAAAAU
rnacentral:pre_miRNA from 1 species